UACGAAGGGGGCUAGCGUUGUUCGGAAUUACUGGGCGUAAAGCGUGCGCAGGCGGUUUUUCAAGUCAGAGGUGAAAGCCCCGGGCUCAACCCGGGAAUGGCCUUUGAGACUGGAAAGCUAGAGUGUGAGAGAGGUGAGUGGAAUUCCCAGUGUAGAGGUGAAAUUCGUAGAUAUUGGGAAGAACACCCGUGGCGAAGGCGGCUCACUGGCUCGCAACUGACGCUCAUGCACGACAGCGUGGGGAGCAAACAGGA
rnacentral:rRNA from 1 species